AUUGAACGCUGGCGGCAGGCCUAACACAUGCAAGUCGAACGAGUGGCGGACGGGUGAGUAAUGUCUGGGAAACUGCCUGAUGGAGGGGGAUAACUACUGGAAACGGUAGCUAAUACCGCAUACCAUCGGAUGUGCCCAGAUGGGAUUAGCUAGUAGGUGGGGUAACGGCUCACCUAGGCGACGAUCCCUAGCUGGUCUGAGAGGAUGACCGGCCAAACUGGAACUGAGACACGGUCCAGACUCCUACGGGAGGCAGCAGGGGGGAAUAUUGCACAAGGGGCGCAAGCCUGAUGCAGCCAUGCCGCGGGUAUGAAGAAGGCCUUCGGGUUGUAAAGUACGUGCAGCGGGGAGGCGUUACCCGCAGAAGAAGCACCGGCUAACUCCGUGCCAGCAGCCGCGGUAAUAC
rnacentral:rRNA from 1 species